rnacentral:miRNA from 1 species
UGUGUGUGUGUGUGUGUGUGUGUGUGUGUGUACACACACACACACACACAUAUAUACACACAAACACACACA